GACGAACGCUGGCGGCGUGCUUAACACAUGCAAGUCGAACGGUGAAGCGCCUUCCUUUUUGGUGGGUGUGGAUGAGUGGCGAACGGGUGAGUAACACGUGAGUAACCUGCCCCCUUCUUCUGGAUAACCGCAUGAAAGUGUGGCUAAUACGGGAUAUUCUGGGUCUGUCGCAUGAUGGGUCUGGGAAAGAUAUUGUUUCGGUGGGGGAUGGGCUCGCGGCCUAUCAGCUUGUUGGUGGGGUGAUGGCCUACCAAGGCGGUGACGGGUAGCCGGCCUGGGAGGGUUGACGGUCACACUGGGACUGAGACACGGCCCAGACUCCUACGGGAGGCAGCAGUGGGGAAUAUUGCACAAUGGGCGCAAGCCUGAUGCAGCGACGCCGCGUGAGGGAUGGAGGCCUGCGGGUUGUGAACCUCUUUCGCCAGUGAAGCAGGCCUGCCUCGUUUGUGGGUGGGUUGACGGUAGCUGGAUAAGAAGCGCCGGCUAACUACGUG
rnacentral:rRNA from 1 species